UACAGAGGCCCCGAGCAUUAUCCGGAAUCACUGGGCGUAAAGGGUGUGUAGGCGGUUGUGUUAGUCUUUUGUGAAAGAUCCCGGGCUUAACCCGGGAGACGCAGGGGAAACGGCACGACUUUUGAGGGUAUGAGAGGUAAAGGGAACUCAUGGUGUAGGGGUGAAAUCCGUUGAUAUCAUGGGGAACACCAAAUGCGAAGGCACUUUACUGGCAUACUCCUGACGCUGAAACACGAAAGCGUGGGCAUCGAAUGGG
rnacentral:rRNA from 1 species